rnacentral:rRNA from 1 species
AUUGAACGCUGGCGGCGUGCCUAACACAUGCAAGUCGAGCGGUAACAGGUGUAGCAAUACAUGCUGACGAGCGGCGGACGGGUGAGUAACGCUUGGGAAUCUGCCUGUUAGUGGGGGACAACCCGGGGAAACUCGGGCUAAUACCGCAUACGCACUACGGUGGAAAGCCGGGGACCGCAAGGCCUGGCGCUAACAGAUGAGCCCAAGUCGGAUUAGCUAGUUGGUCGGGAACGGCCUACCAAGGCGACGAUCCGUAACUGGUCUGAGAGGACGACCAGUCACACCGGAACUGAGACACGGUCCGGACUCCUACGGGAGGCAGCAGUGGGGAAUAUUGGACAAUGGGCGAAAGCCUGAUCCAGCGACGCCGCGUGGGUGAAGAAGGCCUGCGGGUUGUAAAGCCCUUUCGGUGGGGAAGAAAAGCCUCGAGUUAAUACCUCGGGUCUUGACGUAACCCAUAGAAGAAGCACGGCUAACUCUGUGCCAGCAGCCGCCGUAAU